rnacentral:rRNA from 1 species
UACGUAGGGUGCAAGCGUUGUCCGGAAUUAUUGGGCGUAAAGAGCUCGUAGGCGGUCUGUCGCGUCGGCUGUGAAAACCCGGAGCUCAACUCCGGGCCUGCAGUCGAUACGGGCAGACUGGAGUUCGGCAGGGGAGACUGGAAUUCCUGGUGUAGCGGUGAAAUGCGCAGAUAUCAGGAGGAACACCGGUGGCGAAGGCGGGUCUCUGGGCCGAUACUGACACUGAGGAGCGAAAGCGUGGGGAGCGAACAGG